rnacentral:rRNA from 1 species
UAUCUCUGUAGAGUCUGCAUAUCAAUAAGCGGAGGAAAAGAAACUAACUAGGAUUCCCUCAGUAACGGCGAGUGAAGCGGGAAGAGCUCAAAUUUGAAAUCUUCAAGGUUCUACCUUGACGAAUUGUAGUUUAAAGAAGUGUUUUCUGUUGGAGUUUUGGUAAAAGUUCUUUGGAAUAGGACAUCAUAGAGGGUGAGAAUCCCGUAUUUGACCAUUAUUUCCAGCUUUGUGAUACACUUUCAAAGAGUCGGAUUGUUUGGGAAUGCAGUCCAAAAUGGGUGGUAAAUUUCAUCUAAAGCUAAAUAUUGGCGAGAGACCGAUAGCGAACAAGUACCGUGAGGGAAAGAUGAAAAGAACUUUGAAAGGAGAGUUAAACAGUACGUGAAAUUGUCAAAAGGGAAGCGUUUGACACCAGUGUUGUUUUCUCGAAAAUCAAUUAAAAAAGGCUGGAUUUUGUGUUGUAUUGACUUUAUCAGCUUUCUGCACUCUUUUCUUAUCUUUUUUAAUGCACUUUUCGUUUAACAAGUCAACAUCAAUUUCUUUUGUUGUAAAAGAGUCAUUGGAAGGUGGCUUUCUUUUCGGAGAAAGUGUUUAUAGCCUUUGCCUCUGCAAUCGGAGAGAUUGAGGUCUGCAGCGUAGAUCCUUCGGGGUUAGAUAGCAUUUGUGCUAAGUUAUAGCCUUUCAUAGACAACUUGUUGACUAUGAUCAGUCAUGUAGCUUACUCGCUUAUGCUAUUUUACCUACGCUUAGGAUGUUGAGUAGCGACAUACGCAC